UCUUUGAUCGCUGCUAUAUAUAAUAGUGACUCUUCCUACUCUCUUCUCCAUCCAAACCCUAGCUAGCAAAAGCAGCAGUUAAAACCUCCCUUCAAUUUCCGAUCUCAUCAUCAUCAUAUACAUCAUCACCUUUUAGAACACUUGUUCUUGUUCUUCCCAAUAUCUGUCUACCAUCAUGCACCACUACCAGUUGAAGCUGCCAGCAUGAUCUUAACUUCCCUCACUUGCUGUGGAAAGAUCAGAUCAUGUGGCAGUUUCACCUAGUAGUUGUUGGCCGCAUGAACCCUAGUUUAAUAAUUUGGUUUAGGGGGACAGGAAUUGUUUUGCGUGGCUCGGUGCAAUGCAUUCGUGAUUUCGAGAUCCAAUCCGUGCUUCGGUGUCUGAGCCUCCAUUACAUUGGAAUUGUAAUAUACCUUUUUUUUUGUUAAAUUUAUCUGUUGGGGCUUCUUUACCAUUAGUGUCUUUUUUUUUUCAAUAUUGGUGAUGAUAAUGGCAGUGAAAUUCUGUAUUUAGGGUUCAUGAUGAGGGUUGUGUUUUGUGUACUUUCUGGAUUUCCUAAGAUACUCUGAACUCUUUAACUACCUAAAAUUUUCUUUUCUUUUGUUUUCUCUUUCUUUUUUUUUUUUGAAGAGGGUCCAAUUAGUUAAUUAGAGAGAGAUUAUUGAGAGAAAAAGUCAAAUAUUUUAACUUAGUGAUUUUUCACCAUGACAUUUUGGGAUUAACAUGUACACAUUACCUUUCUCAAUUUAUAUUUGUUCAUUGCUUGGUUAACUUGAGUGUGCGAGUGUUGAAUAAACAUUGAUGUAGGUACUGCAAAUCUGUAAUUAAUACAUGGCUCACACGGUACAGGUGAGUCAUAUAUAUCUACUUUAAGCCAAUUCAUUUUGCUUCAUAUCUGAGAAAGAUGCUCAAAUGAGACAAAAUAACUAUUCCAUUGCUGAAGUCAUGGUAGAUUCUCAAUAUCUCAAUGUACUUUCCUCAUCUUACUAGGAUCUGAGUAGACUUUUGGCAUAGGUUUUUGAUUUUGAUCUUUUUCCUACGUGAUGAGGCAAUAAUGUGCUUUGUAUCCCAAAGAGAAAAAAAAAAAUCCUCCAAGUGAGUAUGAUCAGAUCAUAAAGAAGAAAUAGGAAGAAAACAAGCAAUAACAAACUUUACUAAUUUACUUCUACUGUUUGCAAUCAUCUGUUGAAUUGAAAAUUGAUCUUCCUUGGAAGAAUCUCAUAUGGAUAAUCAAUUGAUUUCAUCAUCACCUUCAUGAUCUGCAAGGUUUCUGACAACAACAAAUAUAUAUGAACACAUGAAGUCAUGAACCACCAUGUCUUCAUAAUAUAUAAUAAUAUAUAUAUCAUCGGUUGUGUUAUAUUUGUACAUAUGUGCAGUUUCUUUCCCUCUCUUUUUUAUCUUCUUUGUUCAUUUUGGUUCUCACGGGGUUUUCUUUGGAUUUAAAGCCUCCUCUUUUUUCCUUCUUUUAUUUCUCUCUCGGUAAGAUUCCACAUAGCUUUUAAUCUGCUACAAGUACCUAAAUGACAUGUAAUAGGUCAGUGGUUUGAUUCUCUCAAUUCUUUCCGUAUGUCUUUUAUAUGUCAGUUAUUCCUCGGUAUAUAUUACAUAAUUACCAGAGAUGUUAGCAUAAAUCUCUAUAUUAACUGUUACUUGAGUCAUGCAUUACUGUUAGAUAUAUAGACAGGUGUAUUCAGAAUGAAAUCAGAAUAAAGCCGAUUAACAUAAUGAAGCAUAUGCAGUUAUCUGGCUACUUUAGUUUUUCAGGGAAGGCACUUAUAUCAAGAUAAUUUAUCACACUGAAGGUGACUGGAUUAUACAAUCACAAUCUCUUGAUUCGACAAAUAUAAAGUUCAUACUUAAAGUUUGAGCAUAUAUGCAUAUAUUUUAGCUGUGAAUUAUUUAACUGGUGAUUUCUAAGUAAGACAAGUUUAAGUUAAAUCGUUGUAGGAUCCCUAAAAUAUUCUUUAUAUGACUAAGAGUAGCUCACAGGUCUUUUACGUAACAAUUCCUUUGUAUUAUUGUUGUAUAAUUAAGUGUUUGUUUGUGCUUGCACUCUCAAAAACUAUGUAUUCGUGUUAAUUGAAGGUAUAAUUUGAAGGCUCA